CUGCACCCGCAGUCACACACUCCGCAGUCCGCAUUCGUAACAGCCAAAUUUAAUAAAAUAUAUAUUAUAUUUGUCAGUUUGUCUUACACUCUUACGUGCUUGUGAAGUUAUUUUAAUAGACAAUGGACGUCUUUAUGAAAAAAUAUUUUGGCCGAAUGGGGAUUUGAAGAUUUUAUUGGAAAAUUUAACGACGAAGAAAUUGGGCAUGAGCAAUUUAUGACAUUAACAGAGUCUAUGAUUCAAGAGCUUAUACCUAAAGUUGGUAGACGAUCUACUUUCCUUAAUAAAUUUAUUAAUUUUAAAAAAAAUCAAAAAGUUAACAAAGAUGUACACUGUCAAAAUAUUCUUAUUAAUGAUAAUCCGGGAACGUCAUUUUCAGAAGACACUAUUUCAGAUGAUGUAGGGUGUAUUAAUAUUCAGAAUUUACUAUUUGAAAUGGAUGAUGACACUUCAGUUGUAAUACCAUCUUUAUUAAUGUAUAAAUCCAAUACAAUAAUUAAUGAAAGUAUUCCUGCCUCAAGUAGAUUGUCAAAAAUGAUAACUGUUAUUGAUUCCGAAAAGGGAAACAUUGUAAACGACAUUUUGAAAAAAUACCAAGAUGGUUUAAUGAUUUUAAAAUUGUACACCACAAAAGGCAUUUUAAAUAAUGCUUCCAGGAAUUCUCUUGCAUCAGUAUUAGUCAAACAUGAAUUACAAACAGAACCUAAUCACCAAAUUACUAAAUCUAAGUUUUUACUGUUAGCAGAAGAAAUAGAAAUGAUUUUCCCUACUGAAUCCAAGGACACAUAUUACACACCAUAUUGUAGAACUGGACAAAUACUAAUUCCAACUAGAGGGAAAUUGUAUGAUAAAUACUGUAAUAUAAAAAAAAAAAAAAUUAAAAAAAAUUGGAGCCCCUGCCACUACAUCAUGUGUUAAUGAUGAUGGAAAUAAUUUAAUCAAUGAUGCAGAUUAUGAAGACAGAAUUCAAUGGUUAAAAAAUAAUGUUGAGCCUGAACACAUUUUAUUCAAAUACUGGCAAGAAACUUCUAAUUUUAGAAUUAAGAAGGCAUUUUUAGAAACGCAUAAUUAUCCUGCUUAAAAAAAACCUACAGGCUAUCUAUUGAUUGAAAUUGAUUUUGAAAUAUUAUACCCAGAUA